rnacentral:rRNA from 1 species
UACGUAGGUGGCAAGCGUUGCCCGGAUUUACUGGGCGUAAAGAGCGCGCAGGCGGUCGUGCAAGUCGCGCGUGAAAGCGCCCGGCUCAACUGGGGAGGGUCACUCGAUACUGAUCGACUCGAAGGCAGGAGAGGGAAGUGGAAUUCCCGGUGUAGUGGUGAAAUGCGUAGAUAUCGGGAGGAACACCAGUGGCGAAGGCGACUUCCUGGCCUGUUCUUGACGCUGAGGCGCGAAAGCUAGGGGAGCAAACGGG